rnacentral:rRNA from 1 species
AAAUUGAAGAGUUUGAUCAUGGCUCAGAUUGAACGCUGGCGGCAGGCCUAACACAUGCAAGUCGAACGGUAACAGGAAACAGCUUGCUGUUUCGCUGACGAGUGGCGGACGGGUGAGUAAUGUCUGGGAAACUGCCUGAUGGAGGGGAUAACUACUGGAAACGGUAGCUAAUACCGCAUAACGUCGCAAGACCAAAGAGGGGGACCUUCGGGCCUCUUGCCAUCGGAUGUGCCCAGAUGGGAUUAGCUGGUAGGUGGGGUAACGGCUCACCUAGGCGACGAUCCCUAGCUGGUCUGAGAGGAUGACCAGCCACACUGGAACUGAGACACGGUCCAGACUCCUACGGGAGGCAGCAGUGGGGAAUAUUGCACAAUGGGCGCAAGCCUGAUGCAGCCAUGCCGCGUGUAUGAAGAAGGCCUUCGGGUUGUAAAGUACUUUCAGCGGGGAGGAAGGGAGUAAAGUUAAUACCUUUGCUCAUUGACGUUACCCGCAGAAGAAGCACCGGCUAACUCCGUGCCAGCAGCCGCGGUAAUACGGAGGGUGCAAGCGUUAAUCGGAAUUACUGGGCGUAAAGCGCACGCAGGCGGUUUGUUAAGUCAGAUGUGAAAUCCCCGGGCUCAACCUGGGAACUGCAUCUGAUACUGGCAAGCUUGAGUCUCGUAGGGGGGUAGAAUUCCAGGUGUAGCGGUGAAAUGCGUAGAGAUCUGGAGGAAUACCGGUGGCGAAGGCGGCCCCCUGGACGAAGACUGACGCUCAGGUGCGAAAGCGUGGGGAGCAAACAGGAUUAGAUACCCUGGUAGUCCACGCCGUAAACGAUGUCGACUUGGAGGUUGUGCCCUUGAGGCGUGGCUUCCGGAGCUAACGCGUUAAGUCGACCGCCUGGGGAGUACGGCCGCAAGGUUAAAACUCAAAUGAAUUGACGGGGCCCGCACAAGCGGUGGAGCAUGUGGUUUAAUUCGAUGCAACGCGAAGAACCUUACCUGGUCUUGACAUCCACAGAACCUUGUAGAGAUACGAGGGUGCCUUCGGGAACUGUGAGACAGGUGCUGCAUGGCUGUCGUCAGCUCGUGUUGUGAAAUGUUGGGUUAAGUCCCGCAACGAGCGCAACCCUUAUCCUUUGUUGCCAGCGGUCCGGCCGGGAACUCAAAGGAGACUGCCAGUGAUAAACUGGAGGAAGGUGGGGAUGACGUCAAGUCAUCAUGCCCUUACGACCAGGGCUACACACGUGCUACAAUGGCGCAUACAAAGAGAAGCGACCUCGCGAGAGCAAGCGGACCUCAUAAAGUGCGUCGUAGUCCGGAUUGGAGUCUGCAACUCGACUCCAUGAAGUCGGAAUCGCUAGUAAUCGUGGAUCAGAAUGCCACGGUGAAUACGUUCCCGGCCUUGUACACACCGCCCGUCACACCAUGGGAGUGGGUUGCAAAAGAAGUAGGUAGCUUAACCUUCGGGAGGGCGCUUACCACUUUGUGAUUCAUGACUGGGGUGAAGUCGUAACAAGGUAACCGUAGGGGAACCUGCGGUUGGAUCACCUCCUUACCUUAAAGAA